AUUGAACGCUGGCGGCAUGCCUUACACAUGCAAGUCGAACGGCAGCAUGGAGAGCUUGCUCUCUGAUGACGAGUGGCGAACGGGUGAGUAAAGCAUCGGAACGUACCGUGUAGUGGGGGAUAACGUAGCGAAAGUACGCUAAUACCGCAUACGCACUGAGGUGGCAAGCAGGGGAUCGUAAGACCUUGCGCUAUACGAGCGGCCGAUGUCAGAUUAGCUAGUUGGUAGGGUAAAGGCCUACCAAGGCGACGAUCUGUAGCGGGUCUGAGAGGAUGAUCCGCCACACUGGGACUGAGACACGGCCCAGACUCCUACGGGAGGCAGCAGUGGGGAAUUUUGGACAAUGGGGGCAACCCUGAUCCAGCCAUGCCGCGUGAGUGAAGAAGGCCUUCGGGUUGUAAAGCUCUUUCGGCCGGGAAGAAAUCGCACAGGCUAAUACCCUGUGUGGAUGACGGUACCGGCAUAAGAAGCACCGGCUAACUACGUGCCAGCAGCCGCCGUAA
rnacentral:rRNA from 1 species